rnacentral:lncRNA from 1 species
UGACAUCUUCUAGAAAUCUCCACCCAAAUUCCCCAACUGUACGGACACAGAUAGAAUAAAUGGUCCCUUGAUUCAGCAGCCUGAUUACAGAGAAGACAAGCCCCAUCCGUUAGAAGUCCCCAGCCUAUAAGACGGUCCCUAGUUGGGCAUCUAUUCAGUACAAACAACCAAGUUAGGAAGUUGUGGCGUGGAAUUCCUCUACCAAUCCAAACAAUUGAAGCCCACGGUACUGUCUCUUCCCUGUCCCUCAGCUUUCGAUAUAUCUCGCUUGUACUGUAUCUUGAUGAGGGUUUUUCAUUGACUAUCCACUCAUAGCGAUCCUCUGUCUCAGUCAGACCUAAUGUUGUGAAGAAUAUAUGGAGUUGAAGCAUACUUUCAGAGCGUGGAGGAGGAAGUCUCCAGUUUCCACCAACAAAAAGGUCCGCUACGGUUGUUUUCAAGCUUAUACUCAUACCUGAAGUAUGGUCUGAGAGCAGAAACUGUGAAAGUUUCCCAAAGGGGGACCAAUUAUCUGACCAGAAGCGACAGGAUUCUCCGUUGCCUACUUGCAUCCUUAUCCAGGUAUAGACUUCAUCUCUGAGCUUGAAAAGCUUAUUGACAAGCCAUGAGUUUGAUGUUGAAGGUCUCAUAGUCCAGAAAUUUGAAAGGGAGCCUUUUAGAACUUCUGUCUUGAACCAUCCCACCCAAAUUGAUCCUGCUUGAAAGAACAGCAACCAUAUCAGUUUUAUACAACACGCCUUGUUCCAAGUUAAUAGGUCCUUUACCCCUAGUCCACCACUAGUUUUUUCCUUAGUCACCACUUCCCAAGAUACCUUAGCCGAGUGAUGCGCAUCAAGUCUACCUUUCCAUAGGAAUAGUCCACACAAGGAAUUUAUUCUUUUUAUACAGGCUUUAGGAAGUAGGAAGGUUGAGCACCAGAAGUUAG